GAUGAACGCUAGCUACAGGCUUAACACAUGCAAGUCGAGGGGAAACGACAUCGAAAGCUUGCUUUUGAUGGGCGCCGACCGGCGCACGGGUGAGUAACGCGUAUCCAACCUGCCCACCACUUGGGGAUAACCUUGCGAAAGUAAGACUAAUACCCAAUGAUAUCUCUAGAAGACAUCUGAAAGAGAUUAAAGAUUUAUCGGUGAUGGAUGGGGAUGCGUCUGAUUAGCUUGUUGGCGGGGUAACGGCCCACCAAGGCAACGAUCAGUAGGGGUUCUGAGAGGAAGGUCCCCCACAUUGGAACUGAGACACGGUCCAAACUCCUACGCGAGGCAGCAGUGAGGAAUAUUGGUCAAUGGAGGAGAGUCUAAACCAGCCAAGUAGCGUGCAGGAAGACGGCCCUAUGAGUUGUAAACUGCUUUUAAAAGGGAAUAAAGUGAGUCUCGUGAGACUUUUUGCAGGUACCUAAUGAAUAAGGACCGGCUAAUUCCGUG
rnacentral:rRNA from 1 species